GGACGAACGCUGGCGGCGUGCCUAAUACAUGCAAGUUGAGCGCUGAAGGUUGGUACUUGUACCAACUGGAUGAGCAGCGAACGGGUGAGUAACGCGUGGGGAAUCUGCCUUUGAGCGGGGGACAACAUUUGGAAACGAAUGCUAAUACCGCAUAAAAACUUUAAACACAAGUUUUAAGUUUGAAAGAUGCAAUUGCAUCACUCAAAGAUGAUCCCGCGUUGUAUUAGCUAGUUGGUGAGGUAAAGGCUCACCAAGGCGAUGAUACAUAGCCGACCUGAGAGGGUGAUCGGCCACAUUGGGACUGAGACACGGCCCAAACUCCUACGGGAGGCAGCAGUAGGGAAUCUUCGGCAAUGGACGAAAGUCUGACCGAGCAACGCCGCGUGAGUGAAGAAGGUUUUCGGAUCGUAAAACUCUGUUGGUAGAGAAGAACGUUGGUGAGAGUGGAAAGCUCAUCAAGUGACGGUAACUACCCAGAAAGGGACGGCUAACUACGUGCCAGCAGCCGCGGUAAUACGUAGGUCCCGAGCGUUGUCCGGAUUUAUUGGGCGUAAAGCGAGCGCAGGUGGUUUAUUAAGUCUGGUGUAAAAGGCAGUGGCUCAACCAUUGUAUGCAUUGGAAACUGGUAGACUGA
rnacentral:rRNA from 1 species